GACGAACGCUGGCGGCGUGCUUAACACAUGCAAGUCGAACGGAAAGGCCCUGCUUUUGUUGGGUGCUCGAGUGGCGAACGGGUGAGUAACACGUGAGUAACCUGCCCUGGACUGGGGGAUAACUUCAGGAAACUGGGGCUAAUACCUGAUAGGUGCUCCUGCUGCAUGGUGGGGGUUGGAAAGUUUCGGCGGGUGGGGAUGGACUCGGGGCUUAUCAGCUUGUUGGGGGGGUAGUGGCUUACCAAGGCUUCGACGGGUAGCCGGCAUGAGAGGGUGACCGGCCACAUGGGGACUGAGAUACGGCGCAGACUCGUACGGGAGGCAGCAGUGGGGAAUAUUGCACAAUGGGCGGAAGCGUGAUGAAGCAGCGCCGCGUGCGGGAUGAGGGCCUUCGGGUUGUAAACCGCUUUCGCCUGUGACGAAGCGUGAGUGACGGUAAUGGGUAAAGAAGCACCGGCUAACUACGUG
rnacentral:rRNA from 1 species